GAAGGGUCUCUGGUUGGAAAUCCCUCUUUGGUGGAACUUUCCUCUGUGAGCCUGGAAUCUUCUGAUACGGCACUGACUCAUACUGACUACAGCAGGACCCAAUGAGGGUGAGAUGACACCCAGGGAAGCUCAGCAGCCCUGCUGGGGGAUCAGCACUCACUGCCCAGAGGCAAAGACCCACUGCAGGGCCCUCGGGCUGAAGGAGAAGCCCCCUCCAGCAGCUCCCUGCAGCAGGUUGCACAGGAAAGCAUUCAGGAUGAAGGAGCAUCGCUGCAGGCACUGCACCGCACAGGGCUGCAAGGAAGGAGCCUGCUGGAGACCAGCACCUGCUGUUAAUUACACCUAAUGAAACCUCCCACAUUUUAAGGCCCUGUGAGAUCUACCAAACCAGGUUUCAUGUCUACUUUACCAGCCUGAACUACAAACUGUGCCAUAGACACAAGUGCUCCACCACCUGUGCCAAACCAGGUGCGCCCCAUCAGAAGGCGCUCACUGGGAGCACACACAGCCCUCACGUGCCCUUCAAAUUAGGUAUUUUAUAGAGAUGAAAGCUACACCUCGUCACGAUUUAAUUACAGGUGGAUAAUGGAAAUUCAUAAAAAUCCCAAGGUAGCAUGUAUAGAUAUAACAAGAAACUUUUGACAAAAACAUACUAAGAUUGAGUAUGCUCUGAGUAGAACAUUGAAGGUCUGCUUAACUAGACACAUCCAGGUUAAUUAAAUCACAGUUAUCACAGUUAUUGAGAGCUGCUUUUUUUUUUUGUUUCCUGUUUGUUAGAGAACACACUGCCAAGCAUGCUCCCUUGGUGCUACACAUUCAGUAAUUACACAUACAUUUUGAUAACUUUUUGUUUUAGUCUUUGCAAACUUGGGCAAUUGAGAUGAGAGAACGUUAUAUCAGCUUGCAUCCUUCAGAAGCUGAGAUGCUGCUCUUCGUUUAAAAUAAAAAGGGUACGAGCACAUUGCCAGCUCAGGGUGAGCCCAGAGCAGCUCCCCAAACACCCAGGCUUCCCCAGGCUGCCAAAUCCCAGCAGAAUCAUGGAAUUACAGAACCACGAAGGCUGGAGAAGACCCUUCAGAUCCCCAGCCCACCCCACCAUGCCCACU